rnacentral:tRNA from 1 species
UGGCUCAAUUGUUAGAGCAUGGCACUUGUAACGCCAAGGUUGUGGGUUCCCAC